ensembl:lncRNA
CCCAGCCUCCAGUCCUCCAGCAGCCCAGCCUCCGGUCCUCCAGCAGCCCAGCCUCCGGCCCUCCAGCAGCCCAGCCUCCGGCCCUCCAGCAGCCCAGCCUCCGGCCCUCCAGCAGCCCAGCCUCCGGCCCUCCAGCAGCCCAGCCUCCGGCCCUCCAGCAGCCCAGCCUCCGGCCCUCCAGCAGCCCAGCCUCCGGCCCUCCAGCAGCCCAGCCUCCAGCCCUCCAGCAGCCCACCUCUGGCCCUCCAGCAGCCCAGCCUCCGGCCUCCAGCAGCCCAGCCUCUGGCCCUCCAGCAUAGCACAGAAAAACAUUUCCAUUAUACAUUUUUCUAAAUGGUUUAACCAUUCAGAAAGCAAAUGAACAGGUUUGAGUGAAAAACAGUUCUCCC